UACGGGGGGGGCAAGCGUUGUUCGGAAUUACUGGGCGUAAAGGGCUCGUAGGCGGCCAACUAAGUCCGACGUGAAAUCCCCAGGCUUAACCUGGGAACUGCGUCGGAUACUGGACGGCUUGAAUCCGGGAGAGGGAUGCGGAAUUCCAGGUGUAGCGGUGAAAUGCGUAGAUAUCUGGAGGAACACCGGUGGCGAAGGCGGCAUCCUGGACCGGCAUUGACGCUGAGGAGCGAAAGCCAGGGGAGCAAACGGG
rnacentral:rRNA from 1 species